UAGGGAAUCUUCGGCAAUGGACGAAAGUCUGACCGAGCAACGCCGCGUGAGUGAAAAAGGUUUUCGGAUCGUAAAACUCUGUUGGUAGAGAAGAACGUUGGUGAGAGUGGAAAGCUCAUCAAGUGACGGUAACUACCCAGAAAGGGACGGCUAACUACGUGCCAC
rnacentral:rRNA from 1 species